CGAGUCGGUCGGGCGAUCGCUGCCCGGAUGCCAGUGAUGGCAACCGGGGAGAGGAAAGUCCGGGCUCCACAGGGCAGGGUGCCAGGUAACGCCUGGGGGGCGCGAGCCUACGGAAAGUGCAACAGAAAGGAUACCGCCGCGCACUUCGUGUACGCGGUAAGGGUGAAAAGGUGCGGUAAGAGCGCACCGCGCGGCUGGCAACAGGCGCGGCGAUGGUAAACCCCACCUGGAGCAAGACCAAAUAGGAAUCCGCACGCUGCGGCCCGCAGUGGAUUCGGGUAGGUCGCUAAAGACAGGCGGCGACGCCUGUCAUAGAUGAAUGAUCGUCCUCGACAGAACCCGGCUUACAGACCGACUCUUUUU
rfam:Haliea rubra DSM 19751 genomic scaffold scaffold14, whole genome shotgun sequence.